rnacentral:tRNA from 1 species
CAGGGAGACAACACAAUGAUUUUGAUGCUGAGUGCUUUUAUUCUUAGGCCGAAAUCCUGUCACUUUAGGUCGAUCGGUACUCAGCUUUGAAGUCAAGGAUCAACAGCAAUGUUGAUUGCUUGAUGGAGAUUUUCAGUUCCUAAACUUUGUCUAGGUCACACCCCAAAAGGGAUGAGACUCCUGGGCCAUUAGCUCAGGUGGUUAGAGCGCACCCCUGAUAAGGGUGAGGUCCCUGGUUCAAGUCCAGGAUGGCCCAUUCGGUGUUGGGGGUUUAGCUCAGUUGGUAGAGCGCCUGCUUUGCAAGCAGGAUGUCAGGAGUUCGAGUCUCCUAACCUCCACUGACCGAACUUGAUUCCCAUCUCCAAUUUUUUGGAGUUGAGCUCGAUUGGAGUGUGAUUUAGAUGUGUCCGCUGGAUGACCCCAGCUUCCUGUCAUUCCAAGUUUUAGAUUUUAAGUCUUGAAUUUGGUUGAUAAGAUGCUGGGCUCGGAUCAAAUGAUCAAGCAAUUGAUGAUUUGAUUUGAAGUUCUAGCAGAACCUUGACAACUGCAUAGGUGAGUCUGGAAAAAACAAAGCAUCUUACAGAUGCAUUGUUUUGAAUCUGAUCUUCUGAAAGGGAGAUUGGAUCUAGAACAAUGAAAAUUCUUUUGAGCAAGAGCCGAGACUCUUGAGCGUUCUUUGAUUGGUGUCGAGCCAAUCAGAGUUUGAUCUUGUUUUUAGCAACAAAAACUUGAGAAUCUGCUUUCAACGGCAGUAAGCGUUCAGGAGGUUAAUU